UACUGUAGUUGAAGCGCGGGG
rnacentral:miRNA from 1 species